UGGGUGGGUAAGGGGAGAAGCAUUGUGAGCUGGGACUGGAAUGUGUUGCUGAGCCUGGAAAACACAACCCUGUGUUUUCCUCUGGGUGGAUAUUGAGGACUUGUGCUCAAUGUCCGGCCCCGUCAAGUCCUGGGGGUCCUGUUCUGCUGCUGAGCAUGUAGGCAUCAAUUGCAACAGCUCAGCCCAUCCUUGGGCUCCUCACCCCAUCACAAGUGAUUUUGCAAGGGAAAAAAGUUUAAAGUCCACCUCCUUACUCAACACCAACAUGCCCAGGUCUGCCAGCAAAAACACAAAGCACACCCACAGCAAUGCAGAGCUCAUUCUUUACCCCCAAAGGCCCCAUAAAGCCCCCCCAGAUCACCUGGAGGUGCAAAACCUGCUGAGGUCUUGCGUUGUCUUGCAGUGGAGGUGCAAAAGGGCAAGGAGCAGUGCCUGCGCAACGCCCUGGGCUGCUGCAAUCAGCCCAUCCUUUCUUGCAAUCCCUCUUGGCAGGCCAAGGCGAGCAGGGAGGGCCCUCUCACAUAGGCUGGCUGCUCUCCAAGGAGAAGCAAAUGCAAAUAUUUCUUCACUUUGGGCUGGGUGCGGCCUGGGGAUAAAAUUUCCCUGGUCUUUCCCAGAGAAGGCAUCCGACACCGUGCCCUGCUCCCAGGAACAUGAGAAUGUAGGACAAAAAACCACAAAGGUUAUCUUUCUUGCAGCUCUAGGGUUGCUAAAAGGAGCUGACAGGCGCGACCGUAAUAUUUUUAAACCAGCGAUCACGGUUUUCCUUUGUAACAAAAAAGGCCUUUCGCAGGUUUCAUUUGCAAGCUGAAGAUUUUGGUGCAGCAUAAGCAAGGCUGUAAAGGGAAACGGGUUGGAAACGGCCCCAUCAGCCGUGAGAAAUGUGAAAAGCAGGCGGUGGACUGAGGGAGAGCUGAGCUGGAUUCCUGGCGUGCCUUCCCUCUGCCAUCACUGCCUCCGAGGUGAAAGCUGCUGGGGAGCGGCGAGCAGGAGCCAGCACUGCAGCGAGAUGGGGAAACUGAGGCUGGAGCAGUCGAGAAGGGAGAAGGAAUGGCAACAGUGCUUUGUUUUUCUUUUAAAAUGGAUUUUAGAGCAGCUGGAGGAAAUCUUUUUUUUUUAUUUCCCCCUCCCCCCUCUUUGGUUGACCUGAGUUAAUUGUGAGCAUGUCCCAGCUGGCUUGCUGCAGUGUCAUCCUUUCUGGCAGAGCAUUCGGAUCCAUUUUUUGCACUUCCCUGCGCUCGACACAACCUAAAAGCCAGCAGCUCUCCUGAAAUGCGCUCUGGUUAAGGGAGAGGGCUGGAAAGCAGCUGGAAUUGUUCUGGGUUAAAAAUAAGCGGAGCAGCGCGAGCCCUGAAAUCCUCCAGCUUCGUGAUUUGGAGCAUAGCCAGGAUGAAAAAAAAAAAAAAGAAAAAAAAACGGGGAAAAAAAAAAAAAAAACAACAAACCACAAAGAAAAUAACACUGUGCUAUUGUCCUUCUAUCCAGAGAUCUGUUUACAGAGAAUCCCACAGCAGGACCUGCAUGGAUCGUCCCCUCCAUACGCAGCGCUGGGGGGUUAUUUUUAACGCAAUGUUUUCCAUACGCCAGGAAAAAAAAAAAAAAUCGAUGCAUCCCAUUAUGCAAGCCUUGUUACCGGGCUGUAAAUGAUAUUCCGGGUUAUUAAAUAAAUAAAUAAGGCAAAAUAAAAUUAAAAAUCACCCAACCCACCCUAUUUCUGAAAAUAGACACGGGAGCUCUGACAGCAUCCAUCCUAUCAUCAGUGUGGAUUACAGCACCCUGCAGCCCUGGUUUUCCAGAUGGAAUUAAGGAUUUUUGCCCAGCUCUGACUUGGAGUGGUUUAUUUUCUUCAUUAUUUCUCUGGGGCGCUGAUGGGAGCCCAAAGGUGUGUGCUUUAUUUAAAAAUAUUUAUAUAGAAAAAGGCAGGAGGUGUCUAUCUGUCAGGGAGGCUCACGGACAUCAGCAAAGGGUGAGGGGAAUAUCUUCUGAAAUUAAACAUAUCCCUUAAUUCUGUGAAAGGUCAAACUUUCCCUCACAGACCUCAUCUCCUUAACGCAAGUGGCUGUACGCAGGGUGCUGAGGAGACCUUGUCCCCUUGUCCCCUUUUCCCGACCCUGUUUUAAGAACACCGCGUAACCUUAUUUUGUGAAGGAAAAAACAACAACAACAAAAUUGUGAGGGUAAAUGAGCGAACGGAGGAUGUUUUUCUCACAGAAAGGGGAGGGGGAGGCAGACGGCCGCGCGGUACAGCGCCGCCCGCGGUACUGCAGGGCCCCGCCCGCUGCUCGCUUCACAAAAUGGCGCCCGGCGGGGCCGCGCCGAGCGGUACUGAGGCGACAAAAUGGCGGCGGGCGGAGAGCGCGGGAAGGGCCCGCGGCGCCCUGAGGGCCGCUCGUUCCCUUCCCGUCCCCCUCACCGUCCCAUUUUGAAGUGUUUUUUUCCCCUCACAGCGUGAAGAUUUUGGGGUCAACGCUGCUCUUUCCUCCCCCUCCACACGCGCCCUCCCAGGGAAAUGCAGGAUUGUUUGUGUAACUCCCACUCUACAGCAGAUAGCUUCUCUGUCACCAUGACUUCAAUGUGCACAGUCCAAGCAGUCACUUGUGAGCAAGGAGAGCAGGUAUUGGCACCUCCUCAUUAGCCUUCAUCAAUGAGAAUAUUGGCUAUGGUGUUGCGUGAGUGCCACUGGCUGACCAAUGGAGGGGCCCUGCCCUCCUAAGCUGGAGCAACACUUUCUGAGUGGUGAUUUCAUUGCCUGGUUGCUGCAGUGAUUUGGAGCACAGCUGUGACGUUAUGCUUUUUCUGGCAAAAAUUUAGCUGAGGGGUAAGUAUGAGAUGUCCAGGCCAGAUUUCAUAGUGUGAUGGAGAGCUGGGAGAAGCUGGUGCGUGGUGUAUGUGAAAACUGCCAAUUGCUUGUGUUCCUAAAAAGGCUCAUCUGUGUUUGAAUUAAACCAGCCUGGAUAGGACGUUCAUUUUAUCCUCUUGUUAGGGAUGUGUUUGGAGAUAUGCCUGGUGCUGAUUGGUGGCCUCUGCUGGCCUGCAGGUACAGGGGACCAACAAACUGUUUGGGAUGCCUUCAUGUUUUUCAGGCCACUGUACCCUGUGGGAAUUGUACUACUUUUCUGUGGCAGUUUGGGAUAACUGAGGGCUCCCUUGGGAGUGUUGGACUUCUACCGCCACACGCUUUGGAUUGAAGAGUUACCAGAACGACAUCUGUGAGGUUUCCAAGCUAAACAAAACCUGAAUUUCUGGUGCAAAAAGCAAGUGAAUGAUAGAAACCUCUGCUCCUCUUCCAGCGGGGGGACACUGCAGCCUUUUAAGCUUUCCUAUUAUGCCAAAGAGGUAAAAAAGCAUAAGCGUGCAUUGUGUUAUGCAGUGCUAUUGGUGAUAUAAAAUGAAAGCCAAAGCUAGCCAAGAAACUGUUCUCCUUUCAAAUACAUCUCCACGCACAAGUACUUUUCUUCUUUGCCUUUCCCUGAAGUGAGAGAGCAAUAAGGGCACAAGCGUGCGCUCAGUCUGCUUCAUUUAGAACACAGUGAAGUGACUUCGGUGCCAACAUGAUGAAUCAAAAGCAUUGAAGAUAGCUGGCUUGCUAUUUAUUUUGCUCUGGGCAUGACAAUCAGAUGUGAUUGGGGAUGUGAAGAAGAACAGCCUUCAACUCACGGAGUUGCACUGUUUUAAACCCUUGUCCUGUGACUUCUCCAGCGUGAUUUCUGUCAUUCCUGCUGGGCAUUGCACGUGGGCCUUUUCAUGGAGAGGUAACGCACUGCAGCUGUGUGUUAAACAUGGCAACAUACAGGAUACAGUGAUCUCUCCACUCCCAGGAGCCUGGAAGACUGAAGCCCUCUGCCUAGAGGAUGAAAUGCUUCAUGUUUGGAAAAAAAAACUAGCAGGUACAGCACUUCAGGAUGUGAUUGCAGAGAUGUUUGGGGGCAAAAGGAACCAGGGCAGAAGCUGGCGCUGUAAUGUUCCUAUUUUUUUUUCCACAGUGGGUGAAAAAUUAGGUAUUAAUUCCAAAAAAUUCUACUAUGCAGUAAGCAAGAGUGAGUUCUUUUGCAGUCCUCUGGCUGUACAUGGUGUUUUGCUUGCAUGGCUUAGCAAUUGCUCCGUGCUCUGCUGUUGAAGAAACAUCUAUUUUUGGGUAGCAACGUAUUUUGAAAACGGA
rnacentral:lncRNA from 1 species